rnacentral:misc_RNA from 1 species
AGUUUUAUCAGUUAAAAAGAUGGCAGCCUCCAUGUGAAUGAAAAUAAUGUUUCAUUACUUAUAUCAGUUUCGUCGCAGAAAGUAAAACUUUGAAGCCUUAUGAAUAAUUCCUGAAUAUUUUCUAACCCUUUUAUAAGGAUAAAAAAAUAGACAAGGUCAAUCAUCACAUUGGGUGUUUAUAGUAAAGUUUUGAAACCAUAAGAAACACACAAGCAUGUGUUACCUAAUUUUGAAUUAAAGGAUAAAAUGGAUAUAUCAACUGCUGGACCAUUGGUUUUGGAGACUCUCACCAAUGCAUGUUCUCAGAAAGCCGAUGUCCUUAAACCUGCAGAACGGCAACUCCAGCAGUGGGAAACACAACCAGGAUUUUAUUCCAUACUAUCGGAAAUAUUCAGCAAUCACAGCAUUGACGUGAAUGUGAGGUGGCUAGCAGUAUUGUAUUGUAAAAAUGGAGUGGAACGAUACUGGAGAAAAACAGCUCCCAAUGCCAUGUCUGAGGAUGAAAAAGAAAGGCUUAAAUCCAAAUUGAUUUCAAAUUUCUCAGAGCCAGUUCCACAGAUAGCCACCCAGCUCGCUGUCUUGGUAUCCAAGAUUGCCCGACUGGAUUGCCCCCGGAACUGGAAUGCCCUGCUCCCGGCCCUCUUUGAGGCUGUUCGGUGUGAGGACCUCCUCAUACAAGAGAGGGCUCUCCUCAUCUUACAUCAUGUGACUAAAACACUGGCUUCUAAAAGAUUGGCUCCUGAUAAAAAAUUGUUUGAAAGUGUAAGCUAUACUGGUGUAUCACCUUAUUUGAGAAUUUCUGCAUAUCAUUCAUGUAUUUUACUUAAUGAGUGUUUUCAAUUUAAUGCUGAUUAGUAUAAAAUGAAGUUUUUGACUUGUUAAAACCCUAGUAAAACCUAGACUUAUUGUAGCUGACGAGUGAGAUCUUUGGAUUCGUGCAUGGGUUGUGGACCCGGGAUCUGGACCUCUUUGCUGAACUUUCAUUGGUUCACAGUGAAAAUAUGGGACCAGCGAUGGAUAGAGCAAACCUUUCUUGUAAAAUCAUUAGAAAGCAGAUAGCGUACGGAACCAAAGAUCCUUCAUCCAACCAGGAUAUGUCUAGCUUUUUAAACCAGAUAUUUGUCAGACUAAAACAAGUUCUGGGGUUUAGACAGAGUAUGUGGGGAAAUCCUCACAUUUUGGAGAAAUGUCAGAAAAUGAUCUUGAUGAUGACUAAAAUUUUGCUGGAUCUACUGGACAUUCACCCUAUCUCAUUUAUACAGCUUGUCCGACCGACGUUAGAGUUUGUGGUCACAUAUAAUUUUUCAUUGUCUGAGAAAGGUCUGCUAUUUGAGAGGUUCUCAGUCAACUGUUUUAAUUUGAUGAGGGGAAUCCUCUCCAGUGAUGUGUACAGACCGAUGAAAUCUCCAGAACUUACUGAUACUGUUAAAAUGGAAGCCUACAAGAUAAAAAUGGAUUUUUUCCAAUUUGGAACCCUUCGAGAAAUCUGCCAUCGUUUGGUCUCUCAGUACUUCCUGUUAACAUCGGAGGAUCUCAGUAAUUGGGAUGCAGACCCAGAGGGUUUCUGUUUAGAAGAGGGAGGAGAUUCCUACAAGUAUUCUCUGAGGCCAAGUUCAGAGGUCCUGUAUCUGACGAUGUUUAAGGAAUUCCGAACGUCGUUGACCCCUGUGGUUCUAGAAAUGGUGCAAGCCGUCCAAAACCCAUGUGACCCAGAGGAUAUGGUCGCCAUUCUUAGAAAGGAUGCAGUAUACAAUGCCGUUGGACUGUCAGCUUUUGACUUGUUCGAUGAUGUGGAUUUUGACAAAUGGUUCUCCACACAGCUUCUACAGGAACUUAAUAUUAAGCAUCAGAAUUACCGUAUCAUCCAUCGCCGAAUCAUCUGGCUGUGUGGUCAAUGGGUAGGAGUCAAAAUGUCUUCCUCUUUGAGACCCACCCUCUACCAGGCCAUCAUAUCUCUCCUCAACCAAUCAGAAGACCUAGUGGUCAGGAUAGAGGCUGCAAUGACCCUUAAAACUGAUUAGAUGAUUUUGAGUUUAAUGUGGAGCAAUUUUUGCCAUUUUUGGAUUCCAUGUUUUCUCAGUUGUUUGAACUUUUAAAAGAAGUCCAGGAAUGUGAUACAAAGAUGCAGGUGCUACAUGUGAUAUCUUUCCUAAUCGAGCGAACUGGUAGUCAAAUCAAGCCCUACGCUAGUUCACUCAUCCAGUAUUUACAGACUUUAUGGCAGGAAGCACAGGAACAUAACAUGCUGAAGUGUGCAAUACUCACAACAUUGGUGCAUUUGGUACAGGGUUUUGGGCCGAACUGUACAUCGAUGUACGAGUUCCUUCUCCCGGUGAUUCAGGUCAGCACUGACGUGACGCAGGAUCAGUACGUUUAUUUGGCGGAGGAUGGACUAGAACUCUGGUUAGAGACACUGAAGAAUUCCCCAAAUCCUAAUGAUCAUCUCCUACAGCUCUACAGGAACAUGCCGGGACUUCUGGAACUUUUGUAACAGUCUGGCUUCCUCACUACACAGUUUGAUGUCCGACAUUCGAGAGGAAGGACAGCUAUUGAUAUUACGGGUUGUUGAAUUAGCACUUAAAGUAUUUCCUAAAGAAGGACCAGAUAUAUUUCUUAAUAUCUUAGUUUCGAUGGUGAAAUCACUUGUAGAAGAGAAGAACGAGUCAAUAUUGACUGCCAUGAAUUUGACUUUGUUUGGAAGAAUUGUUCUACAAAACCAGGAGUUCUUGUGGAAAUUAAUCCAGCAGAUGGCACACCACUACCAUCAAGAAGCAGACAGUUUCUUUGGACAUCUGUUGGACAUUUGGUUUGACAAUAUGGAUUACAUCACACAGCCAGAGAGGAGAAAAUUGUCCGCAUUGGCCCUAGCCUCCCUAUUGUCUGUGAACACAAGUGUUGUAGAGGAGAAGUUUGUGGGGAUUGUGACCACGUGUGUAGGCGUGUUGCACGAUGUGACCCGGAUACCUGUAGAUGAUGACCCACUUCUGCAAUUAGAUUCCCUUGUAAUCAGUGAUACAGAUCAGAGCAAUGAAGGGGAUGAUGAGGAAGUACUCCAUGAAAGGCGGAAACAUCAGCUAUCAAAGCAGGAUCCAGUGCACACUGUUCCCCUCAAAGACUACCUGGUGUCUCAGCUGAGGGCAUGUCAGGAACAGAGAGGUGAAAAAUUCAACCAACUGAUGGGACUGGUCGACCCAGAAAUCGUCCAACAGCUGAAGAGCUUCACCAGGUAGCCAUUGUGAUGCCUUUGUGUCCCUGCCAAUUGUAUUUCAAUCAGCUUGAACAUCGCUAGUCAUUAAAAACUCAACAGAAGCAAGCUCUUCCCAGCAAUCUCCGUAACUGAUUCCCAGCCAAUGGAAUGCUUCUAAAUUCUCAUCCAAUUUACUGGCAUGUGUUUAUUGUGAUUAUGGAUACGUUUUCAUAAUCUGAGAGUGACAGUUUGGAGUAUCCAUACCCAGUUCUUUGUGGGUACCUCUGUGAAGUGAUGGAAGGAGUUAGAGAGACACUCCAUGAGAGUCUUAUUUGAUUUUAACUAUUAUGUAAUUUACUAUUGAAAUUUUAAUAAAUUAUUGAAAUU